rnacentral:rRNA from 1 species
GACGAACGCUGGCGGCGUGCCUAAUACAUGCAAGUCGAGCGGACGGAUGGGAGCUUGCUCCCAGACCGUCAGCGGCGGACGGGUGAGUAACACGUGGGCAACCUGCCUGUAAGACUGGGAUAACUCCGGGAAACCGGGGCUAAUACCGGAUAACUCUUUCCCUCACAUGAGGGAAAGCUGAAAGAUGGCAUCUCGCUAUCACUUACAGAUGGGCCCGCGGCGCAUUAGCUAGUCGGUGAGGUAACGGCUCACCAAGGCGACGAUGCGUAGCCGACCUGAGAGGGUGAUCGGCCACACUGGGACUGAGACACGGCCCAGACUCCUACGGGAGGCAGCAGUAGGGAAUCUUCCGCAAUGGACGAAAGUCUGACGGAGCAACGCCGCGUGAGUGAUGAAGGUUUUCGGAUCGUAAAACUCUGUUGUCAGGGAAGAACAAGUACCGGAGUAACUGCCGGUACCUUGACGGUACCUGACCAGAAAGCCACGGCUAACUACGUG